rnacentral:lncRNA from 1 species
UUUUGGUUCUUUGUAGAAGAAGCAAGUACCAGAUAUAGCUAGUCAGUCAUCUUGAGGCUCUCCCACCUAUAAACACCAAUGAUACCUUUUCCUACGUGUCUGUGGAUCUUCUUUUCCCUAUAGCUUUUAUGAACAAAUCCCAUUGCAUUCAACCACUUUCUGCUACCUGACCUCUGAGAGAGGCAAAACAUAGACCAGUCCUUUAAGCAUCCAAGACAGAUGAGAACUUUGCCAAUAAUGUCCCCUGUGCUGCCUCCAGUUCAAGGAUGGGAACUGGGAACUAGGCUUCUGUGUCUUCCAGACAAAGACCACGCUGUAUAGAGGAACGGGUAGGGCAAAU